GAUGAACGCUAGCUACAGGCUUAACACAUGCAAGUCGAGGGGCAUCAGGAAGAAAGCUUGCUUUCUUUGCUGGCGACCGGCGCACGGGUGAGUAACACGUAUCCAACCUGCCCUUUACUCGGGGAUAGCCUUUCGAAAGAAAGAUUAAUACCCGAUGGCAUAAUGAUUCCGCAUGGUUUCAUUAUUAAAGGAUUCCGGUAAAGGAUGGGGAUGCGUUCCAUUAGGUUGUUGGUGAGGUAACGGCUCACCAAGCCUUCGAUGGAUAGGGGUUCUGAGAGGAAGGUCCCCCACAUUGGAACUGAGACACGGUCCAAACUCCUACGGGAGGCAGCAGUGAGGAAUAUUGGUCAAUGGGCGCUAGCCUGAACCAGCCAAGUAGCGUGAAGGAUGAAGGCUCUAUGGGUCGUAAACUUCUUUUAUAUAAGAAUAAAGUGCAGUAUGUAUACUGUUUUGUAUGUAUUAUAUGAAUAAGGAUCGGCUAACUCCGUGCCAGCAGCCGCGGUAAUACGGAGGAUCCGAGCGUUAUCCGGAUUUAUUGGGUUUAAAGGGAGCGUAGGUGGACUGGUAAGUCAGUUGUGAAAGUUUGCGGCUCAACCGUAAAAUUGCAGUUGAUACUGUCAGUCUUGAGUACAGUAGAGGUGGGCGGAAUUCGUGGUGUAGCGGUGAAAUGCUUAGAUAUCACGAAGAACUCCGAUUGCGAAGGCAGCUCACUGGACUGCAACUGACACUGAUGCUCGAAAGUGUGGGUAUCAAACAGGAUUAGAUACCCUGGUAGUCCACACAGUAAACGAUGAAUACUCGCUGUUUGCGAUAUACAGUAAGCGGCCAAGCGAAAGCAUUAAGUAUUCCACCUGGGGAGUACGCCGGCAACGGUGAAACUCAAAGGAAUUGACGGGGGCCCGCACAAGCGGAGGAACAUGUGGUUUAAUUCGAUGAUACGCGAGGAACCUUACCCGGGCUUAAAUUGCAGUGGAAUGAUGUGGAAACAUGUCAGUGAGCAAUCACCGCUGUGAAGGUGCUGCAUGGUUGUCGUCAGCUCGUGCCGUGAGGUGUCGGCUUAAGUGCCAUAACGAGCGCAACCCUUAUCUUUAGUUACUAACAGGUCAUGCUGAGGACUCUAGAGAGACUGCCGUCGUAAGAUGUGAGGAAGGUGGGGAUGACGUCAAAUCAGCACGGCCCUUACGUCCGGGGCUACACACGUGUUACAAUGGGGGGUACAGAAGGCAGCUAGCGGGUGACCGUAUGCUAAUCCCAAAAGCCUCUCUCAGUUCGGAUCGAAGUCUGCAACCCGACUUCGUGAAGCCGGAUUCGCUAGUAAUCGCGCAUCAGCCACGGCGCGGUGAAUACGUUCCCGGACCUUGUACACACCGCCCGUCAAGCCAUGAAAGCCGGGGGUACCUGAAGUACGUAACCGCAAGGAGCGUCCUAGGGUAAAACUGGUAAUUGGGGCUAAGUCAUAA
rnacentral:rRNA from 1 species